rnacentral:rRNA from 1 species
GACGAACCGUGCGAACGUUAUUCGGAAUCACUGGGCUUAAAGCGCGUGUAGGCGGGUCGCACGUCGGGAGCUGAAAUCCCCCGGCUCAACCGGGGAAGGGGCGCCGAUACGACCGGCCUGGAGGGACGUAGGGGGGGCUGGAACUUCCGGUGGAGCGGUGAAAUGCGUUGAGAUCGGAAGGAACGCCCGUGGCGAAAGCGAGCCCCUGGACGUCUACUGACGCUGAGACGGCGAAAAGCCAGAGGAGCGAACGGG